UGCGUAGGCGGUCCGGGAAGUUGGGUGUGAAAGCCCUCGGCUCAACCGAGGAAUUGCGUCCAAAACUGCCGGGCUGGAGGGAGACAUAGGUGAGCGGAACCUAGGGUGGAGCGGUGAAAUGCGUUGAGAUCCUAGGGAACACCAGUAGCGAAAGCGGCUCACUGGGUCUCUUCUGACGCUGAUGCACGAAAGCUAGGGGAGCGAAGA
rnacentral:rRNA from 1 species